CGCCAUCUUCUUCCGCUUCUUCUAACGCGAGCGACAGCGCCGCGGGGCGGGUCUUUCCCGGCAACCAGGAGCGAAGAGGGCAGAACCCGCGAUGCGCAGGCGCCGCCGCCGAAAAGCCUUCUGGGACUUGUAGUUGUUUAAACCUCCAGUUCUGAUCUGGUUUCCUGCUAAUACUCUCAACAAAGUAGUGGAAGAUGGCUCAAGUACUUGGCCCCGUCAUCCACAUGGGAGACCUGGAAGGAGCUCUGGGCUCCUGGCUUUGGCCUUGCCCAACCCCAACUGUUGUGGCUAUUUGGAGUGCCAACCAGUGAAUGGAAAAAGAGAAGAAAAAGACAUAUUUAUUUUGCUGCCCCUCCCCACCUCCAGAAAGAGAAUGCGGGACAGCCCAUUUGGGUACCAGCCAGAAACAUCAAGCCUGCAACUGACAGUCAGUCAGAACCAGCUGAACAAGACUGAGAGUCGGCCUUGUUAGCAGAUGCACCUGCUACCGAUUGUGAAGCUGCUGCCCUAUCAUCCUGCCCUGAGGAACUGCCCACAGCCACAUCCGCUACUGCUUUAUACCCCACUAGCUCUGGUCAGCCACUGGAAUGGCCUACAGCCUGCGUGUGGUCACGCCAUUCCUGAUUACCAUUGUUCUUCAUUCCUACCCCCCAUCUGAGCAAGCACUCCUGUGGUCUCCCAUUUUGAGGGCUGGUUAGUCAGUGACGGGUAAGAUCCCCUGGGGAACAACCUAAGACAGGCACAGCCCCAUGAGGAGACCACAUGGAAAUGAGGUCAACAAUGGUAUGACCAAGGAUCAUGCUUCCUGUUGCUCAAAAAUGAACGAAAAGUGAGAAAUGUGGUAGUAUGAGAAGGCCAUGCCAAGAUGCCACCGGCAUGCGAGCAUCAGUUACUUAGGAAAUGGCUUUGGAACCCACCUGGCAAUGGAGCCUGCCUGGCAGUAGGCAGUGAUUGGUUAUGGCAUAAACCACCCCUUGACUGGAUUGGCUGCCACGGCUAUAUAAGCUGCUGCACCCACUGAGAUACACGAGUCUGCGAGCUGCUCGCCUCUAGCCCACUUUCACCCGACACCCGGUGUCUGUGUCAUGACUCUACACCUCUUGCCCCACCCCACCCCCCCGGCUCUUCUCUCAGAAUGAAUUCACAGCAACAGCCACCUGUAUGAGAGACAUGGAUACAGUUCUUGGACCUGGCCCAGCCUGGCAGUUGUGGCCAUUUGGGGAGUGAACCAGCAGAUAGAAGAUCUCUCUCUCUCUCUCUCUCUCUCUCUCUCUCUCUCUCUCUCUCGCUGUGUCUUUCAAAAAAAAAAUCAUUAAGAAGGCUGAUGACUGCAAAAGAAAAAUACACCUUAAAAAUGGAGAGAUCUGAUUGUAAUCACUGUAGCAUCACUAAUAUUGAGACUGACAUUAGCUGUUUCCAAUAAUUUCCCCAAUUUUCUGAUCAAGCCAGACCUAACUUCCAGUUAGCUAUCCAGGGGGCAGAGGAACAGUUUAUUUACUUAUUUUUGAAGAUUUAUUUAUUUAUUUGAAAGGCAUAGUUACACAGAAAGAAAGAUCUUGUGUCCACUGAUUCACUCCCCAAAUGGCUGCAACAGCUGGAGUUGGGCUGAUCCAAAGCCAAAAGCCAGGAGCCAGGAGCCAGGAGCUUCUUCCAGGUCUCUCACGCAGUGCAGUGGCCCAAGCACUUGGACCAUUUUGCACUGCUUUCCCAGACACAUUAGCAAGGAGCUGGGUCAUACGUGGAGCAACCAGGACUCUAACCUGAAGUCAUAUGGGAUGUUAGCAUUGCAGGAGGUGGCUUAACAUACUGCACCAUAACACUAGGAUCAAUUUAAACAGCAAGAGGAGGCCGGCGCUGCGGCUCAAUAGGCUAAUCCUCUGCCUUGUGGCACCGGCACACCGGGUUCUAGUCCCGGUCGGGGCACCGGAUUCUGUCCUGGUUGCCCCUCUUCCAGGCCAGCUCUCUGCUGUGGCCAGGGAGUGCAGUGGAGGAUGGCCCAGGUGCUUGGGCCCUGCACCCCAGGAAAAGCACCUGGCUCCUGCCAUCGGAUCAGCGCGGUGUGCCGGCCACAGCGUGCUGGCUGUGGCGGCCAUUGGAGGGUGAACCAACGGCAAAGGAAGACCUUUCUCUCUCUCUCUCUCACUGUCCACUCUGCCUGUCAAAAAAAAAAAAAAAAAAAAACAGCAAAAGGAAAUAAUUAAAAAGUACAGGGUGUAAUAUACUCUUCAGGAAAACUGACCUAGGCUCUUCAUUAUUUCACUGUCAUAGAUGCCAAUAGAAUGGAUGAAAAGAGACAUACCAGAUGCAUUAUUAAACCUUUAAUGGUGAUUUAAAAAUUUUUAGCUUUUAUUUGUUUUCAUUUUAUUUGAAAUAUAGAGAUACAGCCCAAGAGAGAUCUUCUAUCUGCUGGAUCACUCUCCAAAUGUCUGUAACAGCCAUUGCUGGGCAAAGGUGAAAUCAGGAGUCUGGAACUCGAUCUCCCAUGUGGGUGGCAGCAACCCAAGUACUUGAGCCCUCACCUGCUGCCUUCCAGAUUCUGCUGGGUCAGAAGCAGAGUAGCCAAGGCUCAAAACCAGGCACUCCAAUGUAGGAUGUGUGUGUCCUAAGUAACAUCUUUUUUUUUUUUUUUUUAGAUGUAUUUUAUUUGUUUGAAAGUCAGAGUUAGAGAGAGACAGAGUUAGGAGAGACAGAGAGUGAGAUCUUUGAUCUGCUGGUUCACUCCCCAAGUGGCUGCAAUGAUUAGGGCUGUGCCAGGCCGAAGCCAGGAGCCAGGAGCUUCAUCUGGGUCUCACAUGCGGAUGCAGGGGCCCAAGGACUUGGGCCUUCUGCUGCUUUCGCAAACCAUUAGCAGAGAGCUGGAUCAGACGCAGAGCAGCCAGGGCUCGAACUGGUGCCCAUAUGGGAUGACGGUACUGCAGGUAGCUGCCUGACCUAUUGUGCCAGAAUGCCAGCCCCACUAAGUGACAUCUUAACCAUAGUGCCAAAUGCCUUCCCCAAAGUGAAUUUUAUGAUAUGUGAGUUAUAUCUUUAAAGCUGUAAAAGCAAGUUAAAUAAAAUGUAAAAUAAAUAGAAUGAACAAAGAAGUGGAUAAAAAGUCUGGUAUACCUUUAUUUUUUAUCUUCAAAAUAAAAUUUAGAAUUAUUUUUUGGGUCCUUUAUAAAAAUCUGUACAUGUUUUGAUUGGCAUUGAGUUGUCCUUAAAAUUGAUAUGGAGAGGGCUGAUCACAGUUUUGUAUCUUCACAGUCAGGAACACUGUUCAGAUUUAGAGUUACUAAAAUCUUUCCUAUCUGCCAAUGACAUUUUUUAAAAGUUUUAUUUAUUUAUUUGAAAGACUUACACAGAGAGAGAAGGAGAGGCAGAGAGAGAGAGAGAGGUCUUCCAUCUGCUGGUUCACUCCCCAGUUGGCCGCAAUGGCCAGAGCUGUGAUGAUCUGAAACCAGGAGCCAGGAGCAUCCUUCAGGUCUUCCCAUGCAGGUGCAGGAGCCAAGGACUUGGGCCAUCUUCCCCUGCUUUCCUAGGUCAUAGCAGCGAGCUGGAUUGGAAGUGGAGCAGCUGGGUCUUGAACCGGCGUCCAUAUGGGAUACCGGCACUGCAGGUGGCGGCUUUACCUGCUAUGCCACAGCACCGGCCCCAACCAAUAACAUUUUGAGUUAUCUUUAUAUAGAUUAGACUCAUCACUCCCGAGAUGAAUUUGUAGGUAUUUCAUUUUUCUGUUAUCAUGAAUGCAAUCUCUGUUUUUAUAUGAUUACUAAAGAAAGCAGUCAUUUCUAUUAAGCAAGUUGAAAAUGUCAAUAAUGGACAGAAUCAAUUUUGUGACUGUAGAUGGCUUGAGCUUAGGGUCCAUGUAGGUUUGGUGAGACGAGCUCCUACGUCUUUCUGGGAUCGAGCAGUUCUUUGGGUUAAUGAGUAGGAAAGCAGUUUUGCUUUCAGCCCCUUCCCCCCUGCAAGCUCUGAGACUUCCUGCUUACAAGCACUGUGAGCCCUGCUGACCCCAUGUCUUUCCAGAUUUAAUUAUUCUUUUUGAAAGUUGGCUGCAACCUUAAGGGGAUAGCAAACAUAGAGAUCCGGUGGGGAUAAAGCUUUAGAGCCAAGAUAACUCUUCCUUUUUCUACUACAUAGGCUGACAGGGGAGCAAUCUGCCCCUUGCUCUGAGCCCUGCCAUUUGUUGUGAUCAUUUUCAUUCCCAUCAAGUGUGCCCUUGGCUCAGACAGCGGACCUCAGGUAGCUGAAGUGACUCCUUUUGUUAUUUCCUCCUCUGCUUCCCGGUAACAAGAUACUCUGCUGGAAUAUGCCUGUCUGGGCUAAAGAAGGAGCUGCAGUGGGUAAGGAGCCAAUGACUAUGAUUUAAUAACCAUGGAAAGAAAACACUGCAGGCAUUUGCCCUAAAGCAGUUAAGAUGUCCACGUGCCAUAUUGCAGUACCUGAGUUUGAUUCCUGGCUCUGGCUCCUGACUCCAGUUUUCUGCUAGUGUGGACCCUAGGAGGCAGGGGUAAUGGCCAAAGUGGUUGGGUCCCUGCCACUCCCAUGGGAGACCCAGAUUGAAUUCCUAGAUUCUAGCUUUGAUCCAGCCCAGCUCCAGCUGGUGAGAUUAUUUAGGAAGUAAAUAAUGGAUGGGAGCCCUUGCUCUGUCUCUCUGCCUUUCAAAUAAAUAAAAAAUAAAUUUUAAAAUAAAAGUUGAGAAAUUAUAAAGAUCUGGAAUUCUGAGUUCCCUUAAAAACCAGUAGAACUGGCAGCAUGGAGCCUGUCCCCAUGGUGACAAUCACAUAGAAGGCACUUCACUAUGUGGGAGUGUGGACCACAGUCCUCCCUCUCCCUACUGUAGCUCCAAGGCUGGAGGAGUCAGUGGCCAUUCGUUGUGGUAGCUGAAUUAUUUGAUGAUCAAUGUGAGAUGCUUCACAAACUUAUGAUGUUCUCAAAAGAGAGAUCAAGGGAGCUGCCUGAUUUAAGAAAAGUCGAUGAAGUUUUCAUGUUUUAAAGAUGAUUCUCGGCCGGCGCCGCAGCUCAAUAGGCUAAUCCUCCACCUGUGGUGCCGGCACACCAGGUUCUAGUCCCAGUAGGGGCGCCUGAUUCUGUCCCGGUUGCCCCUCUUCCAGGCCAGCUCUCUGCUGUGGCCAGGGAGUGCAGUGGAGGAUGGCCCAAGUGCUUGGGCCCUGCACCCCAUGGGAGACCAGGAGAAGCACCUGGCUCCUGCCUUAGGAUCAGCAUGGUGCGCCGGCCGCGGCGGCCAUUGGAGGGUGACCAAUGGCAAAGGAAGACCUUUCUCUCUGUCUGUCUCUCACUGUCCACUCUGCCUGUCAAAAAAAAAAAAAAGAUGAUUCUCGUGUCUGACCUGCUUCACUUAGUUUUGCGAAUCUUCCUGAGCUCCAUAGGUCUUGAGUUUGCAACUCCAAUUUGAAAAGGUAACCCUGAGACUAUGUGAAGCUGUGCAGGAGGUAAGCCCAAGGGGCUUUGCAAACACCCAGGAGACCUGUUAGCAGACCUGGGCUGUGCAGAGAAGAGUCCUGGCAAUGUCACCUGACCAGGGCACAUGCUGUUAGUAGGUGAGGCCAAGAAGGACAGUUGCAGAGGUGUCGGUGGAGAGUGGAGUGAGGAGCCAUCUCAACAAUGCAGCAGCUUGAGAAGGGGCUCGGAGGUAGAAGCAGCAGCAUCUCUGUCUUCUUUGACCCAUGGCCUGCUCCAGUCUAUACCCCUUCCCGGAGGAA